rnacentral:tRNA from 1 species
GGAGCUGUAGCUCAUUGGUAGAGCGCCCGCCUCGCAUGUGUGAGGUACUGAGUUCAAUCGUCAGCACCA